CACUGCGGUGACAAUGAUUUAUAAUGGCUUUUUACAAGAGAGGGGAACGGGCGGCUCCACAGACAGCAGGGUGCCCCGGACCAGGCAGUGUCAUUAACACAAAUGAGACUUUUUCCAAUAUGCCUAUUGAACCUGAGGAACAUCAGAAAGGCCAUGUUUUCUUAGAAGGAAGAUAUUUUUCCAAUAUGCCUGGAAGAGCCAUCUCAUUAAAUACAGGAAUACGGUGCCCUUGUCCACGCUUUUGACAGUUGUGUUGAGAUCUGUAUCAGCAGGCCACCGCAGCCAUGACAUUUUACAAGCUGUCUCAAGAUGAUCCGAUCUUUCAGACCCCAGCUGGGCAGACUUAAGCUCCUCAGCCAAGACCAGCAAUC